rnacentral:rRNA from 1 species
CAGCAGCCGCGGGAAAACGAAGGGGGCUAGCGUUGCUCGGAAUUACUGGGCGUAAAGGGAGCGUAGGCGGAUCGUUUAGUCAGGGGUGAAAUCCCGGGGCUCAACCUCGGAACUGCCUUUGAUACUGGCGAUCUUGAGUAUGGGAGAGGUGUGUGGAACUCCGAGUGUAGAGGUGAAAUUCGUAGAUAUUCGGAAGAACACCAGUGGCGAAGGCGACACACUGGCCCAUUACUGACGCUGAGGCUCGAAAGCGUGGGGAGCAAACAGGAUUAGAUACCCCUGUAGUCCCUGUCUCUUAUAC